rnacentral:lncRNA from 1 species
CCCAUUUGUCUUAAAAAGAAAAAAAAAAAAAAAGAAGAAGAAAAAAAAAAAGCCACAGCGAAACGACUGCUGGGGAAUGCUGCACAGCACAAAGGCUGAGCCAAUCCUUCGCUUAGUGCUACCAGGCCUAACAGAUGUGUUGAGUGCACAGAUCUGGGUUGCAGCAAGCAUUAAUUUGUCCUACUGACUUCCUGUGAGGGUUCGGUGUCUGCAGCGGGGCGUGAUGCUGCACCACGCGUACAGAAGCAGAAAGCUACACCAGAGCUACAACUUGGCUCUUCUGGCAAUGCAUAGCCAGACCUCUUCAGGAUCAGAGCUGGACAAGGAAGCGAUCAAAAGCAGCAAACAAACCUAAAUUAAAAUUGGAAUGAUGAAGCCUAUAAGACUUUGCGUUAAUCCUGCAUGUUGUGCCUCCAGACAUCUGUCAGCCCCCAUAUACAGCCAAUUCUCAGGGCUAGCUGUGGAUAGAGGAAGAAAUGUGCCACUUUACAAAUACUGCCAGCAAGAGCCUUGGAAUUAUCUUCUACAAGGACAAAAACAUGAGAGGUGCUGCUUCCUGCCUUUCAGAGGCAAGCCAAACUACUUCACAAACUGGGGGCUUAAACAGGAAAGGAGAUGAUACUGCCUCAAACCCCGCUUCCCGCAGUACCUCAAUACUUCCGUCCACAAAAUCAUCAGGUGCAAGCACACCAAAAGCCACAAGUCAUCCUGCUUGAUCCUCAGUUACCAGCAGCAUUCAAACAUCAAAAUCAGAGCCUCAUCCACCAAGCUGCAAAACUUCUGUAGGACCAUAGUCAAAGAGCUGCACUUAGGCUGAGAUGAAAACUGUUUCAGUAGCUGAGCUGAAGAAAUGACGCUCACUUUCACCUUUGCCGCAUCACUGCACUGUUCACUACCGGGAAAUGGAGGUGGCAUUCAGACCAGCCGCUCUGCUGGAAGAUGUUGCUGUGGGGUCAUUACUGGCAGUGAGUUGGCACUUAGUGAUGGUGAACUCUGUACUAACUUCUGCCACAGAGAAUCAGAGACAUUUGGCAGAAUCACCAAGGUUGGAAAAGACCUCCAAGAUCCUCUAGUCCAACUAUCCACCUACAACUGCUGGCACUCUCUCAUCAGGCUCAUAAUGACUUUGGGUGAAAUCCCAGCCGAGCUCAAGGCAACAUGUCUGGAUGCAGAGGGCUAAUCCUCUGCCGACACGAACUGACAAGAUGCCAUUGAGGCUGAUGAAGCACUAUCAAUUUACAACAGCCGAAGAUGUGUCACAUAAGGUAAUCAGACUCUAAAAGAAAUAUGAUGGCAAGAGUCCUAAACAUUUCCAAAACACUGUGCUGUCAGAAUAGAUCUUAGAGUACAAAGCCCUACUUUGAGAAGUUGUCAGAGACCCAGAUGGGUUGCUGAUUUUAUCCUGCCUGGAACAUUGUGCAUCCACCUUUCACCCCUUUCCUGUUAUUACUAAUUUUUUAUUUUAUUUAUUUAUUUUAUUUUGGCACCUUAAGACCCUGAGAGAAGUCUCUGAUAUUAUGCCAGCCCCAUAGCUUGGCAUAGAACAGGACAAAUACUUUGCUGAGCUUUUUCCUCUCUAACUCCUUGUUGCUAGAAAUCUCGCUUGAAACAUUGCUUUAUCAUUAUGUCUGUAAAGUGUGGAGUUUCAAAAGAGAAAAACAACCUAUAA